AUCCCAAGUAGAAAGGACAGCAUAUGUAAAAUUUCUGAGGCAGGAAUAAUCUCGGUGCAACAGAGGAACAGCAAAUGUGCCAGUGAGGCUAGAGGGGUAGGAACAAAGGAAUGACAGUAGAAGAUGAGGACACAGGAGACAUAAAGGCAGGGCCAGAUGUCAUGGACCUUGAAAGCCAUGGUUCCAUAAAAUAGUGACUUCCAUCUUGCUAACCAGCUCUUGAUUGGUGACUUUGAUGAAGCAUACGGACAUAUGGAGAGGACAAUGUGGCAAGGGACCAAGAGUGACUUCUGGUCAACAGUCACUAAGGAACUGAGACUCUCAGUUCAACAGUUCAGAAGGAACUGAAACUUCCAAUUAUUACAGGAGCACGAAAUCUGAUGCUUCCUCCUUUGAGCAUUCACAUGAAGACCCCACCAUGGCAGCUUUGGAAACAGGAAACUUUGGAAAACUUCCUACUAAGGACAAUGAAGUUUGAUGUUCAGGCACAAAAAAGAGCUAAAGAAUUAUUCAAUAACUGCCCAGAAAAAGAAGUCAAUUUUACAAGGAGAGCCUAUAAAUAAGCUUCUUAAGGGCAACAACCACUUCUAUUCAUCUUUGAAUUCUUCACGCUGCAGUUUAAUUGGAGAAGUGUUUUAUUAUUGUAAAAGCCACUUGAUUACAACACAGCAUUUGCCGCAAACAAACAGGCAAUUAAAAAAAUAUAUUGCAAAACGA